ACCGGCGCGCCUCCCCAUGUCCCCGCACCAUUGGCCCCUUCCUCCCCCGUGGUCUCGCGCCAGCUCCUGUAUGGUCGCUGCAAGAUUGGGCGCUCCUUCAUCCACAAGCCUUACUUCGUGCUGGAGACCUCGAGACCUGGCUGUUGUCAUACUUCAAGCUCAAGCUUCAACAUAAAAUGCCCAAGUUCCCCAUCAAGUCCCUCUACAUCGAUGGCAACCCCAAGGUCAAGGAGAGAGGCCUCAAGAUGCAGAAUGGCCAUAAGUUGAUGUAAGUGGAAGAUCUCUAAGCAGAGUCGGAGUGACAAAAAUAGCAGGACGGCCAUGCUGAAGCUUGGCAUGAAGUCCAUCACAGGUGUGAGCCAUGUAACUGUUAAGAAGAGCAAAGAAAGUGAGCUUCUCGAGUGCUCUUAUCUUUCUUUCGAACUGUUACCUUAGUUAUUUUCAUGCUGCUAGCUUCUAUCCCAUUUUCAGAUCAUGUUUGCAUCUCCAAACCAGAUGUCUUCAAGAGACACCUAUGUCAUUUUGGGUGAGGCUGAGAUUGAGGAUCAGAGCUCACAGCUGCAGUCAGAGGACAAUUUCAAUUUAGGCAUUUGGCAAAAUAUGGCGACGAGGAUCAGUUGGUCUUGCUUAUUCAGAAACAGAUUCAAGAAGGUUAUGCAAAUUAUUAGGUAUAGAUGUGUAUCCUGCAAUGUGAUAUAGCAGUGAAAUAGAUAUACACUGUUUGAAAAUGUUACAUUCUAAGAUUCUUUGUUCGUUUUCCAGCCAACAAUUCAGUCUGAUAUUGAUAUAUAUCUGCAAUGUACGAGUCAUUAGAAUCGCCAUCCCUAGAAGUACUUCAUAUUCGCAUACAUGCUUUAUCUUUGAAAAAAGUUCAGUCUGAUAUAGUACAUGUCAGUUUACGCUUCUAGACAUUCAGAAAGUUUACAUCAGUGGGGGUGCACGCCCAACAAAAUGCGCCGCCUAAGCUACAUCACACACCUCAGUGAAGAAAACAAAAUAAGAAUGGAGGGAGAAAGUACUUGGUGUCUGAAAAUGUAUCCUACAUGACCUGAUACUGAACAUCAUAUAUCACACCCUGAAACCUAAGUUACUAUGAAAUAAAACCUUGAUGGUUCACGAUCUAAGCUGCAUUUAAAAAUGUGCAUGAUUGCUAGAUGCUUCUGAAACCUGGUUCUGGAAAUUGAUUGGUUAUUCAUCUCAAAACAAAGAGCAUAUGCAUUCUCAUUACUUAUUUACUUUGUUGCUGCCAUUUUCUACUUGUACCGAGCUUGGUUUAACCUACAGAAGACGUAAAUGAUUAGGAUGUUCCAUCAUAUGUUGAACCUUCAUUUUCAUGCUUUGUGGAAUGUGAAGUUGCAGAGCUCAGUAUUAUAAUCUUGAUUCUUUUGCGAGUAAAUACGAAUGUUUCUAAUUAGACAACUUUAUUUGUUUUGUUGUUAUACUUGUACAAAAACCAGUCAGCUGUUGUUAUUAACUGCAACACAAGCAGGAUGAUCACGAUGAAGUACUUGUACAUCAUCUCCGAGGGGUUGGAAGGAGUGAAUUAUGUCCGAGGUGGAAAAGGGCGCCAAGGGCAGGAACAACGAGCUCUGCAAGCUAAGACGAGGACCCUGGCGCUGACGAUGGAUAAUUGGACACGAAGAUGCAACUUUGUCUAGAGAGAGAGUGAAGCUGUCAUUUUAUUAAGUGGGUGUCUGUCUAUGCCUUGUCUCGUAGUUCUAUGU